rnacentral:rRNA from 1 species
AACGAACGCUGGCGGCAGGCUUAACACAUGCAAGUCGAGCGCCCCGCAAGGGGAGCGGCAGACGGGUGAGUAACGCGUGGGAAUCUACCCAUCUCUACGGAAUAACGCAUGGAAACGUGUGCUAAUACCGUAUACGUCCUUCGGGAGAAAGAUUUAUCGGAGAUGGAUGAGCCCGCGUUGGAUUAGCUAGUUGGUGGGGUAAAGGCCUACCAAGGCGACGAUCCAUAGCUGGUCUGAGAGGAUGAUCAGCCACACUGGGACUGGGACACGGCCCAGACUCCUACGGGAGGCAGCAGUGGCGAAUAUUGGACAAUGGGCGCAAGCCUGAUCCAGCCAUGCAGCGUGAGUGAUGAAGGCCCUAGGGUUGUAAAGCUCUUUCACCGGUGAAGAUAAUGACGGUAACCGGAGAAGAAGCCCCGGCUAACUUCGUGCCAGCAGCCGCAGUAACAC